UACGUAGGGGCCGAGCGUUGUCCGGAGUUAUUGGGCGUAAAGCGCGCGCAGGCGGCCUCGCGCGCCCGACGUGAAAGCCCCCGGCUUAACCGGGGAGGGUCGUUGGGGACGGCGGGGCUUGAGGGCGGGAGAGGGUGGUGGAAUUCCCGGUGUAGUGGUGAAAUGCGUAGAGAUCGGGAGGAACACCCGUGGCGAAGGCGGCCACCUGGGCCGUAACUGACGCUGAGGAGCGAAAGCGUGGGGGAGCGAACAGG
rnacentral:rRNA from 1 species